AUACCUUUCUCGGCCUUUUGGCUAAGAUCAAGUGUAGUAUCUGUUCUUAUCAGUUUAAUAUCUGAUACGUGGACCAAUGGUUACGCGAUAUUAAAUUAAUUUCUUUAGGGACUGCCCCGUCACGGUAGCUCACUACAGGGGCUCUCUAGCGUCGCUUUUGCGUUGCACUACUGCAUUGGCCUGGCGCACCCUAU
rnacentral:snRNA from 1 species